UAACGCCUUGUGGCCAGGUAGUCCAUACCCUAAAACCAACAUGUUACAUGUAAAUCCAAGAGGGGGAGGGGGGGGAAUUCAACAUUUUUCCAUUGCUCCCGAAAGAAAUGUGCCAAAAAAUUUGCAUUUAUUGAGAAGGAAGUAUUUGUUGAUGCUGGUGGAUUUCCUGUAAUAGUGUCGACCAUUCAUUUGAAGCUAAAAUAAUCUAUGCGGCAUUUAAUUAUAACUUUAAUGUUGUGAGUAGGCGGCCCGGUAGUCCAGUGGUUAGCACGUCGGCUUCACAGUGCAGAGGUACCGGGUUCGAUUCCAGCUCCGGCCUCCCUGUGUGGAGUUUGCAUGUUCUCCCCGGGCCUGCGUGGGUUUUCUCCGGGUGCUCCGGUUUCCUCCCACAUUCCAAAAACAUGCGUGGCAGGCUGAUUGAACGCUCUAAAUUGUCCCUAGGUGUGAGUGUGAGCGUGGAUGGUUGUUUGUCUA